rnacentral:rRNA from 1 species
AGCGAACGUUUGCGGCGGGCUUAACACAUGCAAGUCGAACGAGAAUCCCUUCGGGGAGGAAAGUGGCGCACGGGUGCGUAACACGUGGAUAACCAACCCAUUGGUUUGGGACAACACCGGGAAACUGGUGCUAAUACCAGAUGUGUCGCAGCUGUCUUCAGGCGGUUGCGAGAAAGGCCCGCAAGGGUCGCCAACGGACGGGUCCGCGUCCCAUCAGCUAGUUGGUGAGGUAAUGGCUCACCAAGGCAAAGACGGGUAGCUGGUCUGAGAGGAUGAUCAGCCACACUGGAACUGAGACACGGUCCAGACUCCUACGGGAGGCAGCAGUGGGGAAUAUUGCGCAAUGGGCGCAAGCCUGAUCCAGCCAUGCCGCGUGAGUGAAGAAGGCCUCGGUU